UACGGAGGGAGCUAGCGUUGUUCGGAUAUACUGGGCGUAAAGCGCACGUAGGCGGCGCAGCAAGUCAGGGGUGAAAUCCCGGAGCUCAACUCCGGAACUGCCUUCGAAACUGCAGUGCUAGAAUCCUGGAGAGGCGAGUGGAAUUCCGAGUGUAGAGGUGAAAUUCGUAGAUAUUCGGAAGAACACCAGUGGCGAAGGCGACUCGCUGGACAGGUAUUGACGCUGAGGUGCGAAAGCGUGGGGAGCAAACAGG
rnacentral:rRNA from 1 species